rnacentral:rRNA from 1 species
UACGUAGGGUGCAAGCGUUGUCCGGAAUUAUUGGGCGUAAAGAGCUCGUAGGCGGUGUGUCGCGUCGGCCGUGAAAACCUGCAGCUUAACUGUGGGCGUGCGGUCGAUACGGGCAUCACUGGAGUUCGGCAGGGGAGACUGGAAUUCCUGGUGUAGCGGUGAAAUGCGCAGAUAUCAGGAGGAACACCGGUGGCGAAGGCGGGUCUCUGGGCCGAUACUGACGCUGAGGAGCGAAAGCGUGGGGAGCAAACAGG